UCAAAUUUGAUGAUCAAAAUUUCCCAUCACCAACCACCCAGUGUGGUAUGCAUGUAGCAUCCAAUAAUUCACCAUAUGCAAUUAUUUUAGUGGCUGCCAUUGAAGGUGAAUGUGUAUAUCAACGAGAGAAGGACCACCUUGCAGCGUCCCAACGAAGAGGUUGGCAACUGUGGACAUGCAGCAUCUGGGUCUAUUCGUUUUAAUGCCUGGCCAUUGAAUGCGACUGCGGAUGUGGAUGACAAGAAGGCCGCCUGCGAAGACCAUCACGCAUGCAAACAGCAGGUUGGAAACAGUGGAUAUGCAAGAAGAAGGCCACCGAUUAAGACCAUCAUGCAUGAGAACCUCUACUGUUAACCCAAUCAUAUUCUUCCAUCUUGUCAUAACAUUAGGGUUUUCUCUCUUCCUUUUCACCCUCUUUGAUCACUAUUUCAUCGCUCGUGUUGUUGCCCUGCACAUGAUUUCUUUGUAAAGGGAUGGUCAACGUAACCUUAGAUUGAAUUGCCAUGUUCUCACACAAGGUUAAUGAACCCUUCUGAAAGAAUAACCACUCGUGCAAGGCGAAGUCCAUAUUGUCUGGCGCGGAGAAGACUGGAACCAGACGGUCCUCACAAGGCUCAGGUGCAUGAACAGAGCCAAAGCUAUGUGUUUCUAACGUAAGUCUAUAUUGAUGGAAGAAGAACCCGUUUUUCUGCAAACGAGGAAGACCUAGUAGCAGCGGAUGAUAAUGACAGUGACUCACGGGAUAGGGUUUCCCAAAGCUCUUACGAGCUUAGCCAUCGAUG
rnacentral:lncRNA from 1 species